CUCACUUCUUGCUUACUCCAUAGGGGAGUUCAAGACUAAUCUCUGAUUGGCGGAUUUUUUAGGACCUUGGAUUCACCAGAGGUUGCGGGUUUUAAAAGACUAUAUUCCCUGCAAACAGGAAAGUUGUCUUUUUUACGUGAUGGAGCACAAUGAGACAGGAUGCCAAGUUCCUCCUGAGGCUCCCAAGCUUUGUGUCAAUGGUUGUGGAUUCUUUGGUAGUGCAGCAACAAUGAACAUGUGUUCUAAGUGCCACAAAGACUUCAUACUGAAGCAAGAACACGCUAAACUUGCUUCAUCAUACCCUAGGUUUGCUGAGAAUGGAAGCUCUAGCAACACGACUGUUGGUGCUAUGGAUCUGCAACCUAGUUCAGCAGAGACUCCGGUCACC
rnacentral:misc_RNA from 1 species